rnacentral:rRNA from 1 species
UACGGGAGGCAGCAGUAGGGAAUCUUCCGCAAUGGACGAAAGUCUGACGGAGCAACGCCGCGUGAACGAUGAAGGCUUUCGGGUCGUAAAGUUCUGUUGUUAGGGAAGAACAAGUACCAGAGUAACUGCUGGUACCUUGACGGUACCUAACCAGAAAGCCACGGCUAACUACGUGCCAGCAGCCGCGGUAAUACGUAGGUGGCAAGCGUUGUCCGGAAUUAUUGGGCGUAAAGCGCGCGCAGGUGGUCCUUUAAGUCUGAUGUGAAAGCCCACGGCUCAACCGUGGAGGGUCAUUGGAAACUGGGGGACUUGAGUGCAGAAGAGGAAAGUGGAAUUCCACGUGUAGCGGUGAAAUGCGUAGAGAUGUGGAGGAACACCAGUGGCGAAGGCGACUUUUCUGGUCUGUAAACUGACACUGGGGCGCGAAAGCGUGGGGAGCGAACAGGGAUUAGAUACC